rnacentral:ncRNA from 2 species
CCCUACGGUCAUUUCGACGGCUCCCUUUGGGGAUUAAUAGGGAAUGCGGUGCAGGGGAUUGCCCUAAUGCCGCAGCUGCCCCCGCAACUGUAAGCGGUGAACCUUGCGUCAUAUUGCCACUGGUAUCUCGGACCGGGAAGGCGACGUAGAGGUAACGACCCGCUAGCCAGGAGACCUGCCGUCAGCCGUGGUCACAC